UUUAUGGAGAGUUUGAUCCUGGCUCAGGACGAACGCUGGCGGCGUGCCUAAUACAUGCAAGUCGAGCGAAUGACGAGAAGCUUGCUUCUCUGAUUUAGCGGCGGACGGGUGAGUAACACGUGGGCAACCUGCCCUACAGAUCGGGAUAACUCAGGGAAACCUGGGCUAAUACCGGAUAAUCCUUCGAAUCACAUGUUUUGAAGUUGAAAGGCGCUUCGGCGUCACUGUAGGAUGGGCCCGCGGUGCAUUAGCUAGUUGGUGGGGUAACGGCCUACCAAGGCAACGAUGCAUAGCCGACCUGAGAGGGUGAUCGGCCACAUUGGGACUGAGACACGGCCCAAACUCCUACGGGAGGCAGCAGUAGGGAAUCUUCCACAAUGGACGAAAGUCUGAUGGAGCAACGCCGCGUGAGUGAUGAAGGUUUUCGGAUCGUAAAACUCUGUUGUAAGGGAAGAACAAGUACGUUAGGAAAUGAACGUACCUUGACGGUACCUUAUUAGAAAGCCACGGCUAACUACGUGCCAGCAGCCGCGG
rnacentral:rRNA from 1 species